UCCUGUAGCUACGCUGCCCUGGUCGUGCCUGAUCCCGUCUGACCUCAGCAGUUAAGCAGGGCUGUUCUGUUUUAGUACUUAGAUGGGGAACCACCUGGGAAAACCAGGUGCAAUGGUUC
rnacentral:rRNA from 1 species